AAUAGAUACCCGGGUAGUCCACGCCGUAAACGAUGAGUGCUAAGUGUUGGGGGGUUUCCGCCCCUCAGUGCUGCAGCUAACGCAUUAAGCACUCCGCCUGGGGAGUACGGUCGCAAGACUGAAACUCAAAGGAAUUGACGGGGGGCCCGCACAAGCGGUGGAGCAUGUGGUUUAAUUCGAAGCAACGCGAAGAACCUUACCAGGUCUUGACAUCCCGGUGACCACUAUGGAGACAUAGUUUCCCCUUCGGGGGCAACGGUGACAGGUGGUGCAUGGUUGUCGUCAGCUCGUGUCGUGAGAUGUUGGGUUAAGUCCCGCAACGAGCGCAACCCUUAUUCUUAGUUGCCAUCAUUCAGUUGGGCACUCUAAGGAGACUGCCGGUGAUAAACCGGAGGAAGGUGGGGAUGACGUCAAAUCAUCAUGCCCCUUAUGACCUGGGCUACACACGUGCUACAAUGGACGGUACAAACGGUUGCCAACCCGCGAGGGGGAGCUAAUCCGGAUAAAACCGUUCUCAGUUCGGAUUGUAGGCUGCAACUCGCUACAUGAACG
rnacentral:rRNA from 1 species